UGAUUGAAAUGAAAUUCAUUUCGGUUCACGUACACAUGUGCGAUGAUCUGAGGUAAGAUGCACAUGGUCGUUGUGACGUCUGAUCUGAUUGGUGAUAUUUUGGUAACCAACUCCUGGUCUAUCAGUUUGUCGUGAUUUUUUGGUAUCUUAUUAUCGCGAUAGACUUAGAAUAUACGUGGCGCGGGCGAGUGGUGUUUUAUUAACCAUGUGCAUAUGAUUACAAGCAGUAGUCGGUUCUGCUAGCUGGUUAAAUGAUCCCGCAUCCUACAUAUAUGGCCAGACUCAUUUUGCUGAUCCAAACGUUUAUAAAAACACUUAGACCCACAAACAGCCGGCACUGGAAUUUGAGGCGAUUUGGAAGAAGGGAAGGAAGAGUCAGUACGACUUUUAGCGGACAUUAGCUAAGUUUCUUGUCCAGAUGACCAAUUUUACGCUGUUCGAUGGUAACGGGAAUCCUAUGUUAAUGAUGAUCUCCGGGGGCGGAUACACGGGCUGUUGUUGGUGGCAGUGGAUAUACGCUAGGUGUCAGCAUGCCGUGCCCGUUAGAAAAUCCGUACCCGUGCGCGGUGUCAAUUGCGCCAAAGGUGGAUUAUGAAAGGUGCAGGAAUUUGGUGGCUUUGUCUAGAGUUAGUGCUUUCGGAUAUGAAAAUAAUAAAACCAGGAUGUAAAACAAAAA